CUGACAAUUUGACCUCAAAUCAGGUAGGACUACCCGCUGAACUUAAGCAUAUCAAUAAGCGGAGGAA
rnacentral:rRNA from 1 species